rnacentral:rRNA from 1 species
UUGACCUCAAAUCAGGUAGGACUACCCGCUGAACUUAAGCAUAUCAAUAAGCGGAGGAAAAGAAACUAACAAGGAUUCCCCUAGUAACUGCGAGUGAAGCGGGAAAAGCUCAAAUUUGAAAUCUGGUAGUCUUUGGCUGCCCGAGUUGUAAUCUAGAGAAGCAUUAUCUGCGCUGGACUGUGUAUAAGUGUCCUGGAAUAGACCAUCAUAGAGGGUGACAAUCCCGUCUUUGACACAGACUCCCAGUGCUUUGUGAUGUGCUCUCAAAGAGUCGAGUUGUUUGGGAAUGCAGCUCUAAAUGGGUGGUAAGUUCCAUCUAAAGCUAAAUAUUGGCGAGAGACCGAUAGCGAACAAGUACCGUGAGGGAAAGAUGAAAAGAACUUUGUAAAGAGAGUUAAACAGUACGUGAAAUUGCUGAAAGGGAAACGCUUGAAGUCAGUCGCGUUGGCUGGGGAUCAACCAUUGCUUUUGCUUGGCUUACUUCCCAGUUGACGGGUCAGCAUCAGUUUUGACCAGUGGAUAAAGGCUAGGGGAAUGUGGCACCU